GACGAACGCUGGCGGCGCGCCUAACACAUGCAAGUCGAACGGAGCUGAGAGAAGCUUGCUUUUCUUAGCUUAGUGGCGAACGGGUGAGUAACGCGUGAGUAACCUGCCCUGGAGUGGGGGACAACAGUUGGAAACGACUGAUAAUACCGCAUAAGCCCACGAUCCGGCAUCGGGGUGAGGGAAAAGGAGUUUUUCGCUUCAGGAUGGACUCGCGUCCAAUUAGCUAGUUGGUGAGGUAACCGCCCGCCAAGGCGGCGAUUGGUAGCCGGGCUGGGGGGUUGAACGGCCACAUUUGGGCUGAGACCCGGCCCAGACUCCUACGGGAGGCAGCGGUGGGGGAUAUUGCACAAUGGGGGAAACCCUGAUGCAGCGACGCCGCGUGGAGGAAGAAGGUUUUCGGAUUGUAAACUCCUGUCGUUAGGGACGAUAAUGACGGUACCUAACAAGAAAGCACCGGCUAACUACGUG
rnacentral:rRNA from 1 species